rnacentral:rRNA from 1 species
GAUGAACGCUGGCGGCGGGCCUAAUACAUGCAAGUCGAGCGAACGGACAAGAAGCGUGCUUCUCUGAUGUUAGCGGCGGACGGGUGAGUAAGACGUGGAUAACCUACCUAUAAGACUGGGAGAACUUCGGGAAGCCGGAGCUAAUACCGGAUAAUAUUUUGAACGGGAUGGUUCAAAAGUUAAAGACGGUCUUGCUGUCACUUAUAGAUGGAUCCGCGCUGCAUUAGCUAGUUGGUAAGGUAACGGCUUACCAAGGCAACGAUGCAUAGCCGACCUGAGAGGGUGAUCGGCCACACUGGAACUGAGACACGGUCCAGACUCCUACGGGAGGCAGCAGUAGGGAAUCUUCCGCAAUGGGCGAAAGCCUGACGGAGCAACGCCGCGUGAGUGAUGAAGGUCUUCGGAUCGUAAAACUCUGUUAUUAGGGAAGAACAUAUGUGUAAGUAACUGUGCACAUCUUGACGGUACCUAAUCAGAAAGCCACGGCUAACUACGUG